GCCAGAUAAGAAGGUGCAUGUCUGUAAUCCCAGCAACUGGGGAGGCUGAGGCAGGAAGAUUGCAAGUGCAAGACCAGUUUGGGCAACUUGGUGAGAUCCUGUCUCAA
rnacentral:sRNA from 1 species